rnacentral:misc_RNA from 1 species
CUGUGAGAUUACAUGUGCAUAUAGUGUUAAUUAUAUAAUCAAAUGUAGCAUCAAUUCAUAAAAGUUAAGUUAGCUUUAUCAACUAACAAUAGUUAAAUUAAUACAAACAUACUCAAAAAAGUUUGUAUUGUU